rnacentral:rRNA from 1 species
CCUACGGGAGGCAGCAGUGAGGAAUAUUGGUCAAUGGCCGGAAGGCUGAACCAGCCAUGCCGCGUGAAGGUCAGUGCCCUAUGGGCGUUAAACUUCUUUUGUGCGGGAGCAAUAAUGGUCACGUGUGGCCAGACGAGAGUACCGUACGAAUAAGCAUCGGCUAACUCCGUGCCAGCAGCCGCGGUAAUACGGGGGAUGCAAGCGUUAUCCGGAUUUUGUGGGGUUAAAGGGUGCGUAGGGUGUGAGGUAAGUCAGCGGGGAAAUGCCCCCGCUCAACGGGGUGAAGUGCCAUUGAUACUGCCUUGCUGGAAUGCGGAUGCGGUGGGAGGAAUGUGUGGUGUAGCGGUGAAAUGCAUAGAUAUCACACAGAACACCGAUUGCGAAGGCAUCUCACGAAUCCGCGAUUGACGCUGAUGCACGAAAGCGUGGGUAUCAAACAGGAUUAGAUACCCUUGUAGUC